rnacentral:tRNA from 1 species
GCCUAGCUGGCCCAGUUGGUAGAGUAUGUGACCCCUGAUCUCAGAGUCAUGAGUUCAAGCCCCAUGUUGGGUG